rnacentral:lncRNA from 1 species
UCGGACCCAGUUCAGUGCGUCAGAAUGUCCAACGACUGCACCGAACGUAGAACUCGAAUUAUUUCGUAAUCACGUUUUUACGUCGCAACUGUGCACUGGAACGCGCUUAUUUAUAAGGUUUGUUGUGAAUUUGUUGUCAAUUCGAGUACAGUACGGCACGCCAAGCACCGAUCACGGAUCCUCAGAAAGCGUCUGAAGGCGCUUACCUAAAUCGUACUGUUCGAUUAGGUUAAGGAUGCUUGGUUAAGCUUUGUUCGAAACCCAUUGAAGUUUGCUGGACGUAAUGUGAGAGACAUAUUAAAUGAACUAGAAACUGGACGAAAGGCAUCGUGGGAAGCUGUUAUCUGCCGGAACUUCUGUCGGGAACAGAACUGUUCAGCCGCGUGGUAAAAACGAACGGCGUCGUUAGUAAAAGAACCUGCCUCACUCAAAUGUUCACGUCGUAACUUCGCCUUGAAUACCUUUCUUAUCCCUGGUAAAUGUAAUAAUAUCGCCGGCUCUUUUCAAGCGCCCCAUUAAUACUUGCCCUUAGCAGACAAGUUCAACCCGCCAAGAACAUCAACAACGUACAUCAAAAAUACAGAGAACCUCUAUCGAUACGCUGCCUACAAUCAGUGACGCCAUUCUGCUGUUAGCAUAACAUGAAUGCACGACAUAUUUACUUCUUCUGUAUUAUCUGCACGAGACAAACUCACUUGCAUUACCAUCGAUUCAACCUAGCAGAACUGAACAGGCCUAAACCUUCAUAAUUUUACGCCGCAUCCAUCUAUCUGUAAGCUAGCGUUGCUACGAAUGUGUCAGCGUUUUUGCAUCUAAGCACUCGCCCCCUUGUUCUGAACCCCCAUGGACGGAACACCCUCCGAGCCAGGUUCAGACCUCAAUGUUUGCGUUCGCCCACUUGCCUAGCCCCUAGCGUUUAACAAGGUUCGACGCUGCAAUAUCGUCUGUGCACGAAGGGAUCACCAAUGCUGCUACUAUCUCUGUAACUAUAAUGCUAUUGAGCAAGUUGCUAGAAUCACUGAUCUCUAAGUGGGGGAAACAAAGGGGAGACGUAUUUUAGAGAUAUUGUUAGUAGCAGUUGUAGCACCAGAAGUAGUAGUAUACUUGUCGUAGCUCUCGAACACCAGCAUUAGCAUCCGGUUCGAGUCAUCGGCUAGACCGUGGGGUAGAGAGAUCUAGGACUU